CUUUCUGCAAGGUGCUGCAUGGUUGUCGUCAGCUCGUGCCGUGAGGUGCGGGUUAAGUCCCAUAACGAGCGCAACCCUUAUCCCUAGUUGCCAUCAGGUAAAGCUGGGAACUCUGGGGAGACUGCCGGUGAUAAACCGGAGGAAGCGGGGAUGACGUCAAGUCCUCAUGGCCCUUACAUCCCGGGCUACACACGUGCUACAAUGGCAGGUACAGAGGGCUGCGAAGCCGCGGGGUGGAGCGAAUCCCAGAAAACCUGUCUCAGUCCGGAUUGAAGUCUGCAACUCGAGAGCAUGAAGUCGGAAUCGCUAGUAAUCGCAGGUCAGCAUACUGCGGUGAAUACGUUCCCGGGUCUU
rnacentral:rRNA from 1 species